GUCUUAGCAACUUGGUCCUGUAACCCAAGUGGGGGCAUGUGGGAAAUGGAACUUUGGGUCAACCCAGUGGUNCGGGNCCAGUGCUAGCUGCUUACCCGGCUGCCCAUUCCAAGCCGGGAGGUGGGCUGAGGGACCUGGGCGAAGGCUNNNGGNNGCGCACUCCUAGACUGGAGGGCAAUGCGUGAGGCUGGCUUCACAGAGCAGCGACUACCUCCCGCUCUCGGCAGUGGAAGGAUAACGGGCCGGUGCGCCUUGAGCCAACACUGUUCAACUGGGCUGACUCUUAAUAGGACCAUUUCUUUU
rnacentral:SRP_RNA from 1 species